rnacentral:rRNA from 1 species
UAUUGAUUAUAAUUUUAGGUUGACCUGCCCAAUGAUAAGGAUUUAUUAAAUGGCCGCGGUAUUUUGACCGUGCAAAGGUAGCAUAAUCAUUAGUUUUUUAAUUGAAAGCUUGAAUGAAAGGUUUGAUGAAAAAAUAACUGUCUCUAUCUAAAUUAAUUAGAAUUUUAUUUUUAAGUAAAAAAGCUUAAAUAUGAGUGGAAGACAAGAAGACCCUAUAGAGUUUUAUAAUUAUUUUUAUUAAUGAAAUUUUAGUAUUUAAGAAAUUUUUAAAUAUAAUUAUUUAAUUGGGGUGAUUAAAAAAUUAAAUAAACUUUUUUUAUAUUUUUACAUUUAUAAAUGAAUAUUUGAUCCUUUAUUUAAGAUUAUAAGAUAAAAUUACCUUAGGGAUAACAGCGUAAUUUUUUUUUAGAGUCCAAAUUAAAAAAAAAAUUGGACCUCGAUGUUGGAUUAAAGGAAAUUAUUGGGUAAACUAAUAAAUUAGGUCUGUUCGACCUUUAAAACUUUACAUGAUCUGAGUUUAAACCGGCGGAG